rnacentral:rRNA from 1 species
UACGUAGGGCGCAAGCGUUGUCCGGAAUUAUUGGGCGUAAAGAGCUCGUAGGCGGUCUGUUGCGUCCGCUGUGAAAACUCGAGGCUUAACCCCGAGCCUGCAGUGGAUACGGGCAGACUAGAGGUAGGUAGGGGAGAAUGGAAUUCCCGGUGUAGCGGUGAAAUGCGCAGAUAUCGGGAGGAACACCGGUGGCGAAGGCGGUUCUCUGGGCCUUACCUGACGCUGAGGAGCGAAAGCGUGGGGAGCGAACAGG